rnacentral:rRNA from 1 species
AUCGAUAAUCCACGUUAACUUUCACUUUAAUUUCAAAAUUUAUAUACCGCCAUCUUAAGAAUCAAUUUAAAAAUUUCUCUCUCAAUAAAUUAUAAAAAGUUAGGUCAAGGUGUAAUCUAUAUUAAAGAAAAGAUGAAUUACAUUAAAAAAAAUUUAAAGCAUGUAUCUAAAUAAAUAUACGUAAAUAAGAAUUUAAAAGUAAUAUAUAAAACAAUAAUUAUAUAUGAUAAAGACAAUAAAUGUGUACACAUCGCCC